rnacentral:rRNA from 1 species
UACGUAGGGGGCUAGCGUUGUCCGGAAUCAUUGGGCGUAAAGCGCGUGUAGGCGGUCCGGUAAGUCCGCUGUGAAAGUCGGGGGCUCAACCCUCGAAUGCCGAUGGAUACUGCAGGGCUAGAGUCCGGAAGAGGCGAGUGGAAUUCCUGGUGUAGCGGUGGAAUGCGCAGAUAUCAGGAGGAACACCAAUAGCGAAGGCAGCUCGCUGGGACGGUACUGACGCUAAGGCGCGAAAGCGUGGGGAGCGAACAGG